AGAGUUCAAUGAUGUGCUUCCCCUCAAAAUCGGGCUGUCUCGUUGUUGUUUAUGCCUUCGUAUGUCUUCUGUUAAUUUCUUAACUAUAUAAAGCCCAUCACUCCCAGUGCACUAUCAUAUUGCUUCUGACUUUGUACGCUUCUAACAAGCUUAUUCCUACUCAAACCACUCCAAACCCCAAACUCCAAAAUGUACGGACAAGAGAAGAACGUCAUUGACAUCGUCGCCCUCAACGGCAAAGAGCGCAACGCCAUGGACAUCGUCGCCUUAAACGGCAAAGAACGCAACACGGUUGACAUCGUUGCCCUCAACGGAAAGGAACGUAACGUUGUCGACAUCGUCUCCCUCAACGGAAAGGAACGCGUCGUCUUCGACGUCAUCGCCCUUAACGGAAAGGAAAGAACUUCCUUCGACAUCAUCUCCCUGUAAAUGUCUACCCCCUUGUUCUCUCUCCAGCCUUAAGUCGGCAUCUAUCACAUGGCUUCCCCUCAACAACAUCCGAGGCUGGACUCCACCGCAUCAACACUCCCCACUCUCUCGCUCCCUUUCUCUCUCUCUUUCUCGCACUUACACAUCCACUCGCACGGCAAUAAGUUUAACUUGUUAAUAUUUAAUCAUAAUAUGUGUAUAUCAUAAUCAAUAGCUCAUAAGAAAUAAAUUUGGUUAAGAAAAAAA